AGCAGCCGCGGUAAUUCCAGCUCCAAUAGCGUAUAUUAAAGUUGUUGCAGUUAAAAAGCUCGUAGUUGAAUUUCGGGGUUAGUAGGCUGGUCGUGCCACUGGUAUGUACUGGUCUUACUGACUUCUCCUUUCUGAAGAACUGUAAUGCCAUUAAUUUGGUGUUGCAGGGAAUCAGGACUGUUACUUUGAAAAAAUUAGAGUGUUUAAAGCAGGCUAACGCUUGAAUACAUUAGCAUGGAAUAAUGAAAUAGGACGUUCGAUCCUAUUUUGUUGGUUUCUAGGAUUGACGUAAUGAUUAAUAGGGAUAGUUGGGGGCAUUAGUAUUCAAUUGUCAGAGGUGAAAUUCUUGGAUUUAUUGAAGACUAACUACUGCGAAAGCAUUUGCCAAGGAUGUUUUCAUUAAUCAAGAACGAAAGUUAGGGGAUCGAAGACGAUCAGAUACCGUCGUAGUCUUAACCAUAAACUAUGCCGACUAGGGAUCGGAUGAUGUUAAUUUUUUAAUGACUCAUUCGGCGCCUUA
rnacentral:sRNA from 1 species